AACAUUACUUAGGAACAAAAAGUCCUCCAUUCCUCCUCUUCCUCCCACACAGUGUGAUUCUAAAGUCUCCUUUAUAAACAUUCAUUCCCAAGCUCUCUCCAUCUCUUAAAAAAAAAAAAAAAACUGUGUCUUACACACAGAAUUUCAUUUUCAGUCUCUGUCAAAGCCAACCGAUCCAAACUCUCUGAACCUCUUAUCUCUCUCUCUCUCUCUCUCUCUGUAAAUAAUGCCAUAAACGCCGUUCAAUUUAGAGUCGGAGAUCAGAGACUGGAACUGAGUGCACACAGAGAGCGAGCGGAGUAGAAAAUUCAAAGGAAUUGAUUUUGGUUAUAGUGACUGUGUUUGAAUGGGGGACGUGCCGUCAACACCUCGCGGCAGUGAUAGCAGCGAGCGUCCGCGAGACACGGCGGGGUACCACAUCGGAAGCUUCGUCGCCGAGAAAUCCUUCCUAUCUCCUCCGAUUUCUGGAACAAACUCCUCCAGCUCCCUCUCAAUCUUCACUGGCCCUCUCACCGUGUUAACCACGCUUGCCAACUCUUCGCACAGAACAAUUCAUACACAAGGAAUCUUGCAAAGAUUUUGAUCCACCGUUCAUGGUGUUUACAAGAGUGUAUAUCGACUUCUGAUGCAUCGAAUGAUGUCUAUGAUAAGGCUGUUACUGCCGUCUACAUCUCUUCGGUUUUCUUAAAAUACUUGAUCGAAAAUGCAAAAGACGACAACCUUGAGGAGCUGUAUUUUUCUCUAGAUGAAAACGAACCUAUACCAAAGGAUUUUGUCCAAGGUAAUUGUUUUGUAAUUCGCUAUUAUAUUUUAUUUAUGGAUUUUAUUAACGUGUACUCUUAGAAAAUCAUUUUAGAAAACUUUUAAUGGAAAAAUAAAAAAGUGAUUAACUAUUU